rnacentral:tRNA from 1 species
GGAGAGGCUGCAGCUCAAUGGAAGAGCCUCCGUUUUGUAUGUAGAAGGUCCCAGGUUCAAUCUCCGGCUUCUCCC